rnacentral:tRNA from 2 species
GCGAGGGUAGCCAAGCCAGGUCAACGGCGAUAGGUUCAGGGCCUAUUCGUGCAGACGUUCAUGGGUUCGAAUCCCACCCCUCGCA